rnacentral:rRNA from 1 species
GUCCAGACUCCUACGGGAGGCAGCAGUGAGGAAUAUUGGUCAAUGGGCGCGAGCCUGAACCAGCCAAGUCGCGUGAGGGAAGACGGUCCUAUGGAUUGGAAACCUCUUUUGUCGGGGAGCAAAAGACGCCACGCGUGGCGUUCCGAGAGUACCCGAAGAAAAAGCAUCGGCUAACUCCGUGCCAGCAGCCGCGGUAAUACGUAGGGAGCAAGCGUUAUCCGGAUUUACUGGGUGUAAAGGGCGUGUAGGCGGGCAUGCAAGCCAGAAGUGAAAUCUGGGGGCUUAACCCCCAAACUGCUUUUGGAACUGCGUGUCUUGAGUGAUGGAGAGGCAGGCGGAAUUCCCAGUGUAGCGGUGAAAUGCGUAGAUAUUGGGAGGAACACCAGUGGCGAAGGCGGCCUGCUGGACAUUAACUGACGCUGAGGCGCGAAAGCGUGGGGAGCAAACAGGAUUAGAUACCCGGGUAA